rnacentral:rRNA from 1 species
ACGAACGCUGGCGGCGUGCUUAACACAUGCAAGUCGAGCGGAAAGGCCCUUCGGGGUACUCGAGCGGCGAACGGGUGAGUAACACGUGAGCAACCUGCCCUUGGCUCUGGGAUAGCCUCCGGAAAACGGGAUUAAUACCGGACAGGACCUCCUGCUGCAUGGCGGGGGGGGUGGAAAGUCUUCUCGGCCAGGGAUGGGCUCGCGGCCUAUCAGCUUUGUUGGGGGGGUAGUGGCCCACCAAGGCGACGACGGGUAGCCGGCCGCUGAGGGCGACCGGCCACACUGGGACUGAGACACGGCCCAGACUCCUACGGGAGGCAGCAGUGGGAAUUGCGCAAUGGGCGGAAGCCUGACGCAGCGACGCCGUCGUGCGGGAUGAAGGCCUUCGGGUUGUAAACCGCUUUCAGCAGGGCGAACAUGACGGUACCUGCAGAAGAAAGCGCCGGCUAACUACGUUGCCAGCAGCCGCGGUAGGAAUACGUAGGGCGCGAGCGCGUGUCCGGAUCAUUGGGCCGUAAAGAGCUCGUAGGCGGCCAGUUGCGUCUGCUGUGAAAUCCCGGGGCUCAACCCCGGGCGUGCAGUGGAUACGGGCUGGCUGGAGGCAGGCAGGGGAGAACGGAAUUCCUGGGUGUAGCGGUGAAAUGCGCAGAUAUCAGGAGAGACACCGGUGGCGAAGGCGGUUCUCUGGGCCCUGUCCUGACGCUGAGGAGCGAAAGCGUGGGGAGCGAACAGGAUUAGAAUACCCUGGUAGUCCACGCCGUAACGUUGGGCACUAGGUGUGGGCCCCUUCCACGGGGUCUGUGCCGCAGCUAACGCAUUAAGCGCCCCGCCUGGGGAGUACGGCCGCUCAAGGCUAAGACUCAAAGGAAUUGACGGGGGCCGCACAAGCGGCGGAGCAUGUUGUCUUAAUUCGACGCAACGCGAAAGAACCUUACCGAGCCUUGACAUGGCCUCAAAGCGCCGGAGACGGCGUGUCCGCAAGGGGGGGUCACAGGUGGGUGCAUGGCUGUCGUCAUGCUCGUGUCGUGAGAUUGUUGGGUUAAGUCCCGCAACGAGCGCAACCCUCGUCCUAUGUGCCAGCGGGUCAUGCCGGGGACUCAUGGGAGACUGCCGGGGUCAACUCGGAGGAAGGUGGGGAUGACGUCAAGUCAUCAUGCCAUUAUGGCUUGGGCUGCAAAAAUUGCUACAAUGGCCGGUACAGAGGGCUGCGAUGCCGUGAGGCGGAGCGAAUCCCGGAAAGCCGGCCUCAGUUUCGGAUCGGGGUCUGGCAACCCGACCCCUUGAAGUCGGAGGUCGCUAGUAAUCGCGAAUCAGCAACGUCGCGGUGAAUACGUUUCCCGGGCCUUGUACACACCGCCGUCACGUCACGAAAGUUGGCAACACCCGAAGCCGGUGGCCUAACCCUCGCGGGGGGAGCCGUCGAAGGUGUGGGCUUGGCGAUUGGGACG